CCCGGACCUGAAGGUUCCAUCGCACUUACUUCCUGUUUUGGGUCCGGGCACUUUGGAAGAACCAGGAUGGAGGCUCCAAAAAAUACCAGGAUGGAGGAAGCAGCCACGGGAGAGAGUGGCUGCAGCUGGGGUUUUCCAAGUAGAAAUCCUGAACUCGGUUUAAGCAACACAAGUCUGAAGAUGGGAAAUAUAUUGUCUAUACCUUCAGAGCGCAAACUGUAAGACUUAGAUAGAAUGGAGUAGAAACAGGAAGUGUUCAGGUUUAUCCUGAUUUGUUGUGUAACUUUUAUGUACCGAAGCCAUGGAUUUAAGGGUUCCAAAGCUGGAAGAUAUUCAAGAUAUCUGCAAUUUGUAUCUGCAGUCGUAGUUCUGCCAUCUGCGGCCCCUGGUGGUUCUCCUUGAGGUAAUUUGUGUCCUUGCGGAUGCUCUGGGAUUUGGCCGUAUGUUCGUAUGUUUUGGAAUUUUAUCUGAGGCCUUUGAGAUCCAUAUUGACAAGUUAUACUUCCAGUGACUGUUUAUUUACAUUUGCUUCGGCUCACCACGGGCCCGGACAGUGGAUGGGGCGGCCGGACCGCCUACCUACACAGAAACAGAACUUUUCUCAUCUGCGCUUUGCCUCCACUAGAAUCCACAAGCUCAGAACCUCAUUAGGACCUGAUGAACACGUGGGGAACUGAUCCAGCUGAGACAUUCUUGGGCAAAAUACAUUAGCAUUACAAAUGCUACUUGCUCUGAACCUAUCUGAAGGAUCAUUUUCUCUCAGAGAUAAGCAUGGCUCUCAUCCCUCAUCAAAGAAGCUUCUUUGCUGCAGAUGGUGAACAUACAGAAAGACAAGACUGGUCAAGAUACAGAGAGCAACUGACCAUGGAAUGCCCAAUCCCAUUGAUACAUCUGUAACAUAAGCCUUAUACUGAAGGUUCCCUAUCUGUGGAGGGAUGUCACAGAAGAAGAGGCAAAAAUACUGUAAGAGCUAGAGGACCAGGGGAUCUGCUACGAGAUAGUGUCUUCUAUAUAUGACAGGAAUGCUGCACCCAUGAGAUGUCAACAAUACGGCUGCCUAAAGACAGCCUGAAAGAUGACAAUAGCAAUUUGCAUGCCAAUGUGAAGGGGGGAAACCUCACAUGGUCCCAUGCCUAGAUGAAGAGUUGGAGGUAAUUAAUAACUGCCGAUAGAGGUGAAAUGAGUCUUCUCUAAAGACAAGCCCCCAAUAGGUUAAGCACAUAUAUUCAAGCAGCACUAAAUAAAUCUAGCAGGUUUAUACACACACACACACACA